rnacentral:tRNA from 1 species
GGUCCUGGGGUGUAAUCACGUGGGAUUGCAAAUCCCAAAAAGCAGAGUAAACCCUGCCGGGGCUU